GGAGCUCAGUGGAAAGGCAUCUGGUUUCCAUGCAGAAGGUCCCGGGUUCAAUCCCCAGCAUCUCCA